rnacentral:misc_RNA from 1 species
AAGUCGUAACAAGGUUUCCGUAGGUGAACCUGCGGAAGGAUCAAUACGAAGAGUGGAGAGAGGAGAGGGGAGGAUUUGUUGAAAUACUAGAAGAACUUAUGACAACAUAAUUUUUAACUUUAACAACUCAUAACAAUGGAUCUCUGGGCUCUU